rnacentral:misc_RNA from 1 species
UGGCUCUCGCAUCGAUGAAGAACGCAGCGAAAUGCGAUAAGUAAUGUGAAUUGCAGAAUUCAGUGAAUCAUCGAAUCUUUGAACGCACCUUGCGCUCCUUGGUAUUCCGAGGAGCAUGCCUGUUUGAGUGUCAUUGAACCAUCAAUUCUCAACUUCUGUAAUGGUCGUUGAUGGAUUGGACUUGGGGACUUGCUGGUUCUAUUGCUGAACUGGCUUCCCUCAAAUGCAUUAGCUGGAAUCAUUACAAGCAGCAUAUAUGCGGUGUGAUAAUAUCUUCACUGCAUUGCGAGUAUUGAGUCUGGCUUCUAAUAGUCCAUUAGUUUGGACAGCAGCAAUGCUAAUGACAAUUUGACCUCAAAUCAGGUAGGACUACCCGCUGA